UUUGUCUGUUAAACAGAGAAGCUGGCUGUUAUCCACUGAGAAGCGAACGAGACAGUCGGGAAAAUCUCCCAUUAUCGUAGAGAUCCGCAUUAUUAAUCUCAGGAGCCUGUGUAGCGUUUAUAGGAAGUAGUGUUCUGUCAUGAUGCCUGCAAGCGGUAACGAAAACGAUUUGAAUAUGCCUUCAGGAACAAUAGAAAUCUUCGUGCGGUGUUACGUUGAAGUGGAGCGGAUUAUGUCAGCAAUGGACAGAACAACCUAAUGAACACAGAACCAUGAUGUUUGGUCUGUCCUUUUACAGCCAGUAGUGCUCGCCGCAGUCGAGCGACAGGGCGAAGCCCUCGAGUGAGCGAGGAAGCACCAGGGAACAGCACUUAUAUAUUCUGCUUACACACGAUGCCUGAAAAAACUUCCCUUGGGGUUAUCCACUUAUCCACGGGGAUAUUUUUAUAAUUAUUUUUUUAUAGUUUUUAGAUCUUCUUUUUUAGAGCGCCUUGUAGGCCUUUAUCCAUGCUGGUUCUAGAGAAGGUGUUGUGACAAAUUGCCCUCAGAAGAAGCUGUUUUUUCACAAAGUUAUCCCUGCUUAUUGACUCUUUUUUAUUUAGUGUGACAAUCUAAAAAAUUGUCACUGAACCGCCCCGGUUUUCCUGGAGAGUGUUUUAUCUGUGAACUCAGGCUGCCAGAUCAUCGUUUCCGAUGGAAGCAUAAUAAGCUUUUUCUGCUUCUGCCGGAGGAGUAUGGCCCAGCCUUCCCAGCAAUCGUCGAUUGUUAUACCAGUCCACCCACGUUAGUGUGGCCAGUUCCACUUCUGCACGGUUUUUCCAGCUCUUACGGUGUAUUACCUCCGCUUUGUAAAGACCAUUGAUGCUCUCAGCCAUCGCGUUGUCAUACGAGUCGCCUGUACUCCCUGUUGAUGCCAGUAAUCCGGCUUCUUUUAGUCGCUCCGUAUAGGCAGUGACACAUACUGAGAGCCUUUAUCGCUGUGAUGGAUGGUGCCAGACGGACGACGGGCCCACAACGCCUGCUCCAGCGCAUCCAGCACGAAUGUCGUUUCCAUAGACGAUGAGACCCGCCACCCCACGAUGUAUCCGGCAAACACAUCAA
rnacentral:rRNA from 1 species